rnacentral:rRNA from 1 species
AGUGAACGCUGGCGGUAGGCCUAACACGUGCAAGUCGAACGGCAGCACAGUAAGAGCUUGCUCUUACGGGUGGCGAGUGGCGGACGGGUGAGGAAUACAUCGGAAUCUACUUUUUCGUGGGGGAUAACGUAGGGAAACUUACGCUAAUACCGCAUACGACCUACGGGUGAAGGCAGGGGAUCUUCGGACCUUGCGCGAUUGAAUGAGCCGAUGUCGGAUUAGCUAGUUGGCGGGGUAAAGGCCCACCAAGGCGACGAUCCGUAGCUGGUCUGAGAGGAUGAUCAGCCACACUGGAACUGAGACACGGUCCAGACUCCUACGGGAGGCAGCAGUGGGGAAUAUUGGACAAAGGGCGCAAGCCUGAUCCAGCCAUACCGCGUGGGUGAAGAAGGCCUUCGGGUUGUAAAGCCCUUUUGUUGGGAAAGAAAAGCAGCAGGUUAAUACCCCGCUGUUCUGACGGUACCCAAAGAAUAAGCACCGGCUAACUUCGUG